UACGAAGGGGGCUAGCGUUGCUCGGAAUCACUGGGCGUAAAGCGCACGUAGGCGGCUUUUUAAGUCAGGGGUGAAAUCCUGGAGCUCAACUCCAGAACUGCCAUUGAUACUGGGAAGCUUGAGUCCGGGAGAGGUGAGUGGAACUCCGAGUGUAGAGGUGAAAUUCGUAGAUAUUCGGAAGAACACCAGUGGCGAAGGCGGCUCACUGGCCCGGUACUGACGCUGAGGUGCGAAAGCGUGGGGAGCGAACAGG
rnacentral:rRNA from 1 species